GACAAAAUUCAUGGCGUUCUCCUGUGACUCUUAGGAAAAUGUUGGGAGAUAUUAAAUUCAGGCCACGUCAAGAAAUCAGUUGCUAUUGUGAAGCUCUACUUAUCUGAGCACAGAUUGG
rnacentral:lncRNA from 1 species